UUUUCGCCUAAUUAGCUCCUCUGGUUUGCUUGCCAUUUCCCCACCCCUGCGUCAGUAAAUAAGCUCACCGAUUCUCAUUGUUCUCCACUGGUUUCCUCUGCUCUGGAUCUGAUUUACUUGCCAUGACCCUGUCGUUUUCAACGCCUGUUUAAUUCCACCAGUGACUACUUUCUCAGCUGAUUCCAACAUGAGCUGUAUUGCAAUGUGCGCUACAGAUGGAAAACUGUGGCAGUGGCAUUAAUCUGUUAGAUGCUGAAAUAUGGUAUAUAAAAAGACUGGAAAGAAAAACAGUCAAGCAGUGCUGGGAU